rnacentral:tRNA from 1 species
GCUCUUGUAGCUCAGUUGGUUAAAGCACCUGUUUAGUAAGCGGGAGGUCUUGAGUUCAACUCUCAACAAGAGCA